rfam:Felis catus isolate Cinnamon breed Abyssinian chromosome C1, whole genome shotgun sequence.
GCCUGGGUGGCUCAGUCGGUUGAGCGUCCGACUUCAGCUCAGGUCAUGAUCUCACGGUUCGUGAGUUCGAGCCCCGCGUCGGGCU